rnacentral:rRNA from 1 species
AUACGGAGGGUGCUAGCGUUGUUCGGAAUUACUGGGCGUAAAGCGCACGUAGGCGGAUUAAAAAGUUAGAGGUGAAAUCCCAGGGCUUAACCCUGGAACUGCCUUUAAAACUAGUAGUCUAGAGUUCGAGAGAGGUGAGUGGAAUUCCAAGUGUAGAGGUGAAAUUCGUAGAUAUUUGGAGGAACACCAGUGGCGAAGGCGGCUCACUGGCUCGAUACUGACGCUGAGGUGCGAAAGCGUGGGGAGCAAACAGGAUUAGAAACCCCAGUAGUCC